UGUGUCAAAAUUAUUAAUAAUAUGCUUCUAUAUAAACUGAUUUGACCCUUUUCAGCUGGGCCAACUACUGCUCAAGGCUAUUGAGACAACUAAUGGCUUUGACCCAUAUAGCACUCUGUUCGUCUGUAACCGCUGGGACCACGUGAAGGAGUCUGACCACGACAGAGUUUUGACCGCCGUGGCCGAUCGGCUAUCUCUGAUCCUUCCAGACGUGAAGAAGUCACAGCUCUACCCGAUCUCUGCGAUGAAGUGCCUGAAACAGAUAGAAUACGGUCAAGUGCUCCCAGAACAUCGAAACCUGGUGGAGGGCAUGCGUCGCUUCUUGCCCCAGGCCAUGCGAGGGAAACUACGACGUUACUACAAGUAUGACGACAUCCUAGAAUUACAGGGUUCUUUUGGCAAUAUUUAAAUGAUCUGUCUGUCUGUCUGUCUGUCUGCCUGUCUGUCUGUCUGUCUGUCUGUCUGUCUGUCUGUCUGUCUGUCUGUCUGUCUGAAUACGCAAAUCCUACUUUACCUCGUAUUUGGUCUAAUGGCAUACGUCAACAAAGUUGAUGUCACCACAUUAGAGACUGCACCCAUUUUUCAGAUUGCUCUAAAGACAGGAUAAAACCCUAGACCUUGGCAUCCGGGUAUAAUUCCGGCUGUCCACUACACGUUUUCCUGGAACUGAGACUAUAAGACGAACGUUUAUAUUAGUAAUUGUUUUCUAUAACUUUAAUAUAGCUUCAUUUAUCUUUGAAUCUACAGAAAAUGAGAGUAGCAAAAUAGAAA